GACGAACGCUGGCGGCGUGCCUAAUACAUGCAAGUUGAGCGAUGAAGAUUGGUGCUUGCACCAAUUUGAAGAGCAGCGAACGGGUGAGUAACGCGUGGGGAAUCUGCCUUUGAGCGGGGGACAACAUUUGGAAACGAAUGCUAAUACCGCAUAAUAACUUUAAACAUAAGUUUUAAGUUUGAAAGAUGCAAUUGCAUCACUCAAAGAUGAUCCCGCGUUGUAUUAGCUAGUUGGUGAGGUAAAGGCUCACCAAGGCGAGGAUACAUAGCCGACCUGAGAGGGUGAGAGGCCACACUGGGACUGAGACACGGCCCAAACUCCUACGGGAGGCAGCAGUAGGGAAUCUUCGGCAAUGGACGAAAGUCUGACCGAGCAACGCCGCGUGAGUGAAGAAGGCUUUCGGAUCGUAAAACUCUGUUGGUAGAGAAGAACGUUGGUGAGAGUGGAAAGCUCAUCAAGUGACGGUAACUACCCAGAAAGGGACGGCUAACUACGUG
rnacentral:rRNA from 1 species